GUGUCAGCAGCCGCGGUAAUACGGAGGGUGCAAGCGUUGCUCGGAAUCAUUGGGCGUAAAGCGUACGCAGGCUGUUCGUUAAGUCGGGUGUGAAAGCCCGGGGCUCAACCCCGGAACUGCGCCCGAAACUGGCGAGCUUGAGUGCGGGAGAGGGAAGCGGAAUUCCUGGUGUAGAGGUGAAAUUCGUAGAUAUCAGGAGGAACACCGGUGGCGAAAGCGGCUUCCUGGCCCGACACUGACGCUCAUGUACGAAAGCGUGGGGAGCAAACAGGAUUAGAUACCCCGGUAGUCC
rnacentral:rRNA from 1 species